CCGAAGUAUUAAGACACUCUAAAGCGCUUU
rnacentral:piRNA from 1 species